CGUCGCCCGGUUCAGGUGGAGGUGGCCUCCACCGUCCAGUCCCUGCUUCGCCGGCUUCCCGAGGGCGACACUGUCCUCUACCCCGACAACCACCAGAUCCGCUGGGAUCCAUGCCGCCGUGAAGUUCGCCUGGCUGCUCACCCUGCCCCGCACCAUCCAUUCGCAAGGGAGAAGACGACGAGGAGCUCCUUCACCGGCCCCUCUGCCAUUCACAAGGUGAAGCCCUCCCAAGCAUUUUUUGUCAUGUGCGCGUGCAGGACGGCGGGCGCGUUGGUGCAAUCAGCCGGCGUCCUUGCAGUCCGUCGGCGUCCCUGCAGUCCGUCCGGCUAGAGCAUGCAGUGCCCGCGCAUCGGUGCAGUCCCCUGCGACAUGCGUGUCGUCCGGUUUGUUUGCAGGAUUUUUCUGCUAUUUCCCCGGUGCUCCCACGGCUUGCUAACUGCUCAUACUAAUCCUUGAGUUGUUUCAACUUGAGGUUUAAAAUCAUAUCGAUCCCUUCCUGCUCUAGCUUGGCCUCUCCUGAACUUUUAGUUUUUGACUUUUUGCAGAACUUCAGUGGCCGGAUUUCCGCUGAUGAUCGUGUGCAGGGCAAGCAGUUCGAUCGGCGGGUGGAUGGAUGUUUUAUUUGCUGUAUAGUUUGGUUGUGAAGUGUGAUUCAUAGGUGUAUGAAGUUCUAAUGUGAAAAGUUUGGGAAAAGGCAGCUCGCUAGCUUGGGUCGGGCAGCCUAGACUAUCAACGACCAUUCGGCUUGACUCGUCUUCGUUCCAGCAGCCCCUAGAGAUUAACAAAGAAGUUCACAGCAGUUUGUUUUGUUUGUAGGAUGGUUAGAGAAAAAAGGUUAUGGAGUUCAUCAUCCUUGGCAAAAUUCAGCUCAGCUUGGAAGUAUUUGUAAACAAGAAAACAUAAAUUUAACAUUUAGUUCUUUAGAUGAAGUCCAUUUCGACGUGUAAUAUUAUAACGCGAUACACUAGCAUCAGUAAUUCAUUCACUUUCCCUCCUGAUGUGCAUUGCACUCAUCCCACGAGGUGUGCAGUGCACUUAUCCCAUGAGGCAUUGGGUGUUUUGGGAUCAGUCAACUUCAUCGGCAACUGCAGUACGCUUGGCCGAUGGAUGCAGCUCCUCCUGUCAGAUUCAGCUCAUGUGGAGGUAUUUGUGUGUUUCUGAAUCAGUCAAC
rnacentral:lncRNA from 1 species